UACGAGGUGCUGCAUCUCACACUUCAGCAUUAGCGUCACCUGGGAGGUCGGUAAAAACACAGAUUGCUGCCUAGAUCCCCGCGUUUCUGAUGCAGUUGGUCUGCUACGGAGCCCAGAAGCUGACCUUUCUGACAACUCCCCUGAAGGGGCUGUUGCUGCUGGUCUGGCGACCACCCCUGAAGAGUCGCUGCUUUAAUACCAGAGAUACAGCACUUGAAGAACCAUUGCUCGAGAGAGAUGGGAAAAGAACAGAGGGUGUUUGAUCCAGAGAAAGAGAAUGGGCAAAUUUGAGAGGAGCUUAUCUGCACUGGAGAUGACAGGAAAACAGCUUUAUAAACCAUUGUUUUAUGCUGGUAAGGAGGAUGCGCGAUUUACACGUCAAAAGGAGGCUCCUGAAAGAACAGCCCGAAGACUGUCUCAGGUGGUGGAAAAAUAGCUACUUUGUAAGAAGCUGUGUGACUUCCUGAACGUUCUCUUUUCCAAGACAGAGUGGCCCUGACUGGAGGACAACAUCUCCCCCGGGGGCAGGAGGAGAGAAGGCUCUUCUGUAUCUUUACAUGAGCACAGCUCCCAGCAGGAACUACUGAUUUCUCAAAUUCUUCAAAGUUCUCCUGAGGCCAUUGCAUCAGCACUGAAGGCAAUCAGCAGUUGAGUGGCCACAUACAUUUAUUAGCUUCCCAAUAAUCUGCAGUGACGUAUGGGAUCAUUCUGUACUAUUUACCAGCUUGGGAAACAAAAUAAGAACGAAGCACACAUGGUGUGGCUGAGGAUACCUGAAGGGUGAUGACAGGGCUGAGAGAGUUGGGAGGAGGUGAAGGUGGAGAUGCACACAAAACAAUCAGAAACCACAUGACUUGCCAGAAGAUUUUACUGAGUCACUGUGUCAUUUGCGUCCAUAACAUCCAAAACGUUAUUUGGAGUUGUCCCUUUGGAUGACACUCGGGAGGAUUUCAUGUUCUGAGGCCAGAAGACCAAGUAUGUGAGAUUCAAGUGGAAGUGUGAGUAUGCAAGUGUAUGAAAUCUGUCUUCAAAAUAAGCCAUUCUAUCAUCUGCCACUAUUAUGUAAGGAUUAUAGACACCUACAGAUGCAAUCACAAGGUCAUCUUCCUUUACCAAAAAGUACAGCAAUGUCUUACUUUAGAUGUCAUGCAGAGUACUAGCCUGAGGAAACUCUUGGGUUUGAGUCCCAAUUUUAUCAUUUACUAGCUCUGUUACCUUGGGGAAGUCACAGAGCUUGUUUCCUUAUAGAAAAAUUCCUGCCACCUCACAGAGCU